AUUGAACGCUGGCGGCAGGCCUAACACAUGCAAGUCGAGCGGAUGAAGGGAGCUUGCUCCUGGAUUCAGCGGCGGACGGGUGAGUAAUGCCUAGGAAUCUGCCUGGUAGUGGGGGAUAACGUCCGGAAACGGGCGCUAAUACCGCAUACGUCCUGAGGUAGAAAGUGGGGGAUCUUCGGACCUCACGCUAUCAGAUGAGCCUAGGUCGGAUUAGCUAGUUGGUGGGGUAAAGGCCUACCAAGGCGACGAUCCGUAACUGGUCUGAGAGGAUGAUCAGUCACACUGGAACUGAGACACGGUCCAGACUCCUACGGGAGGCAGCAGUGGGGAAUAUUGGACAAUGGGCGAAAGCCUGAUCCAGCAAUGCCGCGUGUGUGAAGAAGGUCUUCGGAUUGUAAAGCACUUUAAGUUGGGAGGAAGGGCAGUAAGUUAAUACCUUGCUGUUUUGACGGUACCAACAGAAUAAGCACCGGCUAACUUCGUG
rnacentral:rRNA from 1 species